GUCUACAGCCGUACCACCCUGAAUGUGCCCGAUCUCAUCUGAUCUCGGAAGCUAAGCAGGGUUGGGCCUGGUUAGUACUUGGAUAGGAGACAAAUGUAGUCCUUGUUUACC
rnacentral:rRNA from 1 species